GUUCCCAGUGAUGAUCAUCUGACCAUGCUAAUUCUGAGGUAUAUUGAUGAACCUUACUGUUUUGAUCUCUUUUGAUCUCCUGAGGGAACU